UAUCACUGAGACAUACGUACACAUAGUUUUCCUAAUUUUGCCAAAGUAAAUCAAUAAGAAGGUAAAAUGAUAAAUCUGCUAAAGUAAAAAGAAGAUAAAACUAACCCAAUCAUAAAUUAGAGAAAAGGAAGGAGACUCUCUUUUCCUCACUUGGGGCCUCCCUACUCUGUGGCUACCCAGAAACCCCCCUCGCCCCCCCUCCAGGGUUUGAGCCUCCUGAUGCAGCAACAUCUGCCUGGACAAUGAGAGGAUCAGCAGACUGAAGAUCUAUCUAACUAAACACAAGACCAAUAAGAGAAAUUACAAAGAAAAAAAAACGAGUGCUCAUCAGGAACUUAACAUCAGAAUAUUCCAUCUGCCAGAAUUUAUGUAACUCAACAACGACACAACCGAUGUGAAUUCUGUCGGGCUGCAAGAAUACCCAAAGCAUUAUCGGUCCUAAUUGAGGCCUCCUCGGGGAAACAAGGUUUAGGCAGAAGUGGGUCCUCUGAAGCUCGCAUUUAGUCCACUGUCCAAACGGACUGAACUUUUAAGACUCUGGGGGCAGUUACUGUGCUGAUGGGUGCUGCUAAAAAUGAGACAGCCGAAGAACUCUUAGGGGAAAA